ACUAUUUUGAGUUCUCUUUUUAUGCUCCCUCCUAGGCUUGAGCAAGUUGGUGAAGUGUUAAAAAGCUGAUAGCAGGGAUCUCAAAGAGAUGAAGAAUUAGUCUGGAUUCACAGAUCGAACUGCCAACCUCUGGCUGACUGAGAGCUGGUUGGAUUUGCAAGCUUGGUUUUCUAAGGAAAUACCUCUUACGAUAUUGUCCAAAGUCUCUCCCGGUUCACUUGUUUCAGCUCUGAUGGGCGGCAUGCAAGAAAAAGUAUGGGAAUUGUCUUUCGACUAAAUACCUUGGGAUCUUUUGAAUUCUUAUUAUGUUUGGGUUGAUGUGUUUUGGCCAUCGUCUCAAAAAUGCUGUCCCUGUUGCAUCUGCCUCAGAUCGAUUUCCUGGAAUGGUCUUCUGAGCUCACCCUUUGCUCUCUGUCUGUCUUUUCUUCUUCCAGAGGAGAAUCUAUUACAAUCCAAACAUCAGCCCCCAAAUCUGAAAUUUAGGACUGUUCUUUAUGGAGAUUGAGACUGCAUUGUUCCUCUCAACACCAGCUGAGAAUCUCCACACUGAAGAACAGCCCAGGAGCCCAUCUGGCUUGCAAGAAUUCUUCCUUCUUAGAUGCCAGAGGCAGCAGUUGUGAUUCCUAACAUGGGCAUGGCUUUACUGUGGCAUUCUAUCACCAGUGAGAUUGAUGGCAUGAGGUAUUUCUGCAAGCGCGUGCAAGCUCAUGCGUCAUCCAGGGAUCCCGGGAUGCCUGUUUCUGCACAAUCUGCCUGUCAUCUCUUAUGGGACCUUCACACAUCAGUGGCACCGAUUAUCUCACGUCACAGCCCAUCAGUUGGCUGAACUCCAGAAGAAUGUGAAAUUGUCUAACAAGCCUCCAAAUGUGAAUGGCUCCAUGUUGGCCUAAUCACACAUAAUGUUCGCCUUUGUCAUCCGUUCCCAAAGAGUGGCUGCAGUGCUCAUCUGUUAGACAAAUACAAUUUCUAGAGCUCUUCGCCAUGCCUGUUGUAAGGGUUUUUUUUUUUUUUUUUUUUUAAUCCCCAUUCCCUUCUUCCGGGGGUGAAUUCCAUUCAUUCUUCUGACUACACUCUGCUGUGCCCUUCUUCCCAUCCUAUAAUCAUGACUUCUUUCCAUGGCCUCAUUCCUUAAAAUUGAUCUAGGUAAUUGCCAAAAUUGUUUUAAGCACAGGCUUUUAACUGUGUUUGGAGCAACAAAGCAUACUGAGACACGAACAUCAACAUGGAAUAAUUCAUAUGUCCACGUAUAUAUAUGUCCAAUAAAUGUUGCCA
rnacentral:lncRNA from 1 species